CACGUCAGUGGCAUUGCAGAGUAGCUAUGUUCGGACGGGAUAACCGCUGAAAGCAUCUAAGCGGGAAGCCUCCCCUAAGAAAGAAAUCCCCAAA
rnacentral:rRNA from 1 species